AGCUUUGAGAUUUAUUCAAAGUAUCUUCUGCCCACUGAUACAAUUUAAUGGCCGCAGUACCCUGACUGUGCUAAGGUAGCGUGAUUCUUGUUUUCUUAAUUAGAAAUCUGUUCAAAGAAUGAAAUGAGAGAAUCUAUUGUUUCUAUAACAAGUGAAUUUAAAAUGUUAGUGAAAAUUCUGACAAGUCCUUAAAAGACGAGAAGACCCCAUAAAACUUAAUUUGAUCUCUUUCUUAAGAGUUUAAAAUUUAAAUGGGGACUUUAGAGUAUAAUAAUAACUCAAAGACCUAUAUUUAUAUUAUUAGCGAAGCUACUUUGGGGAUAACAGGGUAAAAUAUUUAGAGAGUUCAUAUCGAUAAAUAUAUCUACUACCUCGAUGUUGGAUUAUACUUUUCAUAUAUAUUGUAGCAGUAUAUAUUGUUAGUCUGUUCGACUAUUAAAAAGUUACAU
rnacentral:rRNA from 1 species